CGCCCGGUACCGGGUACUAGGGUGGCCCCAUCGAGCACGGGGAAUCCGGUCGAAAUCCGGGACUGUCGCGCAACGGUGAGGCAUCACGCCAAGUCCGAAAACCGUCUCGAUGUCCUUGCAGGCGG
rnacentral:ncRNA from 25 species